CAAAUCAUUCUUUCUCUUUUACACGGUUAGUGAAAGAUCCAAAAUUUGAGGUCAAAUUGCUCCCUAUGGUGAUGCAAAGGUUUGAAAAGUGUUUUGGAUGAUUGAAGAGCGAUGGAGUAUUGACUAGUUUUUUUUUGAACCAGCUGACUCCCUAAAUGCCAUCCAAGCAAUCAAUGAUGGGGCCACGGGGAGCAGUUUGGGGCAUCUCAUCCAAGGAAUUCUCCAGGUGAGUGUUUCUUUUGAGUCCUGACUCUUCAAGCACAUUAAUAGAUGUUUCAACUCUGUGGCUCUCGAGCUUGCUCAAUAUGCUCGAAGAUCUGGUCUCCAAAACCUCUGGAAAGGAGUUGCGCCCCACUUUGUUUCUUCUUUUCUGCAAUCUGAUAUGAAUGUAAUCUGAAUGUAUUCUGUUGUCUCUGACCUGCUAUGCAGGAACCUUUGUUUGUAUUGUUUCAUGGUUUAAUGCCAAUAUAUU